AAACGGCUGCACGCUUUCUCUCUCGCUCGCUGUAAGUUUUUUCCGGCGACUCCAAUUGGUGUUUUAGAAAAUUGUAAGUUUUUUCCGGCGACUCCUAUUGUAGUUUUAAAAAAUUGUAAGUUGAAUUUCAGUACUCUGUUAUUUGAUACUUCGCAUUAACUAUAUUUACCAUAACUUCUUCGCUUCGGUAUUUGUUUUACAUAAUUAUUUUUUUCAUAUUUGAGUCGAGCGUCUACAUACAACCCUUUUCAUAUAUUAGACGAAUUUAGAAUUUCUGUAACCCUUCCAAAAUAUAACUGAAAAAAUGUAUUUAGACGGAAUUGAUCUGUAAGUGCAUCAUGUAGUCUUUGUUCAAUGGUGCCAGCAGAUAAUAAUAUAUACCAAUUUGGAAAAAUAUAUGCGUCAAAUAUCUAUUUUUAUGGAGAGACAAUAGGUAUAAUACCCCCAAUCUUUUACUAAAAAUUUGCCCGCACUUGUGAGAUUUAACGGGAUAUGUUGUUGUUGUUGAAGGCACUAACUCCAAUUUUUCCUAGUUACUUGUGAUUCUACAAGUUGAGUUCCGUUUCUUAUUUGCUUCUCAUGCGAUCUUAGGAGAUGGCCAAUAGUAAGUCCGAUAAAGUGAAAUAUUUUACACUUGUGUCCUAGUAUUAAAUUUAGUAUAUACUGAAUAUGAAAGUUAAUGGUAUGUGUAAGUAUUCUUGAUGAUUUCUUUUAACCAAGAAGACGAAUUGUUAAAAUUUUGGCAGAAUCUUCAGCUCUGCCCUUUUCAGCUAGUAAUGGCCAUAAAUGAGUUACAUAAUAUUGUCUCAUUCUGAUAUUCAUUGUAUUAUUUUCUGUGUGUGAAGUUUUAGCUCACCAAUGCAUACUGCUUAGUUGGAAUAGGGGCUUCUCAAAACUUCUACAGGUUCAUCUUUCUUGUUUUUCAAACUAAUAUUUAUGGAAGCUGCAGUGAUAAACUAAAAUAUUAGAGAAAGAAAAUGAAGGCUGAACUUUUUUUCGAUAACCAUGGAGUUUGGGCUAGCUUUCAUCCACCUCGACAAAACUUUGUCCACUAAGUUUAGGAUAGACGGGAAGAAAUGAACUUGUGUUUUUUGUCUGCUGGAAUUUGGACGCAAGACCUUAUGGUUCACAAUCUACCCACUAGGCCACACUCUCGGCCUCGGGUGCAAAUGAAGGUUGAACGUUUAAUGUGGAACAAUAAGAAAAGGAAAGAUGAAGUUAAUAUAAAUACUAAAAGAUGAAUACUGAGUCUUUCUUGUUAACUUUCCCUGUUAAUAGAAAAAGUUGUAAUUUCUGUGAUUUCUUUCCGGUACAUUUGAGGAUGAGUUAGCACCUAUUCGAGGCUUUCAAGUGAUUCAAACAACUAUUAAUUGAAGCUGGUCGGUUGGAAGACUUUGUGCUGGAAACAAAAAUGGGCUUCUCUUGCCUUACACCACUACACCUCAAGUGCAAUGAUUGUUGAUCGUGCAAACAUGUCAUUCUAUUCAUUUGUAUUCAAUAGAGCCUUUGGAAUACUUAUCUAUACGUCGGGCAUGGAUAUGAAUUGGACUUGCUAUGACAAAAUUUGUGGGUUAGAAGAAAACAAUUUCAUUAGUGGUCGGACUGCAACAUUGCUGUCCUUGAUUCCAAGCAUCAUUUUUGGGACUGGAGGCGAAUGAUAUAUCUAUAUAAACUAACAAAAUAUUGAAAAUUUGAUUUUCGUUUAGGCUAAUGUUUCACUCUACCAUUUCAUGUUUAUUUAUGUGACUUGGUCAAAUUACCUUACAUUCACCUUUUUCCUUUGUUAUUUCCUUGAUUUUACAUCUGCCUUUGUGUCUCUUUCGGUGAUUGAAGAACUUCAGCACUUGACAAAUAGUCUGCCCAAUUCUGUUGAGGUACAAUGCAUCGACGAGACACAUUCUGCCUUGGGGAACUGCAUAGCAUGCAAUGAUCAUAUUGCUCUUAUACAUCCUUCUCUUGACAAGGACACUGAAGAGAUGAUUGCUGAUGUUCUUGGUGUUGAAGUUUUAAGGCAUACGAUAGCUGGGAACGUUCUUGUUGGCAGCUAUUGUUCUUUAUCCAACAAACGGGUCUUGGUCCAUCCUCGUACGUCCAUUGAAGAUUUAAAUGAACUGGACAUUCUUCUUCAUUUACCUAUUGCUGCUGGGACUGUGUAUAGGGGUAGUAAUGUGAUUGCUGCUGGAUUGACCGUUAAUGACUGGACAACAUUUUGUGGCUCAGACACUACAACAACAGAGUUGGCUGUUAUUGACACUGUAUUCGGUUUGAGAGAUGCUCAACCAAGUGCUAUUGAUACAGGUGUUCACGGUCAUUAACAGGUGCUCCGUUGAUAUCAUUUGCAUUCCAGUUAACUCUGUACAUUUGAGGAUGAGUUAGCACCUAUUCGAGGCUUUCAAGUGAUUCAAACAACUAUUAAUGGAAGCUGGUCGGUUGGAAGACUUUGUGCUGGAAACAAAAAUGGGCUUCUCUUGCCUUACACCACUACACCUCAAGUGCAAUGAUUGUUGAUCGUGCAAACAUGUCACUCUAUUCAUUUGUAUUCAAUAGAGCCUUUGGAAUACUUAUCUAUACGUUGGGCAU